AGCAUUUGGAAUGGCAGGAAGCAGCUGACAUCAGUGAUUUUUGGCUGGAAGUACAAGGUGAAGCAGGAAAACUGCAGGUGGUCAGUCCAGAAGAAGACAUUCCAUGAUGGAGACAGGGCACUUGCAGGUUUGACGAUACUUCACCUUUCUCAUUCCUCAGACUCCAACCCAC